CCUACGGGUGGCAGCAGUGGGGAAUAUUGGACAAUGGGCGAAAGCCUGAUCCAGCCAUGCCGCGUGUGUGAAGAGGGCCUUCGGGUUGUAAAGCACUUUCAGUGGGGAAGAAAGCCUUGGGGCUAAUACCCUCGAGGAAGGACAUCACCCACAGAAGAAGCACCGGCUAACUCCGUGCCAGCAGCCGCGGUAAUACGGAGGGUGCGAGCGUUAAUCGGAAUUACUGGGCGUAAAGCGCGCGUAGGCGGUCUGAUAAGCCGGUUGUGAAAGCCCCGGGCUCAACCUGGGAACGGCAUCCGGAACUGUCAGGCUAGAGUGCAGGAGAGGAAGGUAGAAUUCCCGGUGUAGCGGUGAAAUGCGUAGAGAUCGGGAGGAAUACCAGUGGCGAGGGCGGCCUUCUGGACUGACACUGACGCUGAGGUGCGAAGGCGUGGGUAGCAAACAGGAUUAGAUACCCUUGUAGUC
rnacentral:rRNA from 1 species